rnacentral:rRNA from 1 species
CGGGAGUAAUGUCUGGGAAACUGCCUGAUGAGGGGAGUAACUACUGGAAACGGUAGCUAAUACCGCAUAACGUCGCAAGACCAAAGUGGGGGACCUUCGGGCCUCAUGCCAUCAGAUGUGCCCAGAUGGGAUUAGCUAGUAGGUGGGGUAACGGCUCACCUAGGCGACGAUCCCUAGCUGGUCUGAGAGGAUGACCAGCCACACUGGAACUGAGACACGGUCCAG